UACGGAGGGUGCAAGCGUUAUCCGGAUUCACUGGGUUUAAAGGGUGCGUAGGCGGACAGGUAAGUCAGUGGUGAAAUCUCUGGGCUUAACUCAGAAACUGCCGUUGAUACUAUUUGUCUUGAAUAUCUUGGAGGUAAGCGGAAUAUGUCAUGUAGCGGUGAAAUGCUUAGAUAUGACAUAGAACACCGAUAGCGAAGGCAGCUUACUACAG
rnacentral:rRNA from 1 species